AUGCAGUCGAACGAGGAAAGCACCUUNCGGGUGCCGGUACUAGUGGCGCACCGGUGAGUAACGCGUGGAUAAUCUGCCCUCUGGCGGGGAAUAACUAGUCGAAAGAUUAGCUAAUACCGCAUAAGACCACAGCUUCUGCGGAAGCAGUGGUUAAAGAUUUAUCACCAGAGGAUGAGUCCGCGUCCGAUUAGCUUGAUGGUGGGGUAACGGCCUACCAUAGCGACGAUCGGUAGCUGGUCUGAGAGGAUGAUCAGCCACACUGGAACUGAGACACGGUCCAGACUCCUACGGGAGGCAGCAGUAGGGAAUAUUGCGCAAUGGGGGAAACCCUGACGCAGCGACGCCGCGUGAGUGAUGAAGGCCUUCGGGUUGUAAAGCUCUGUUCUACAGGAACAAAAAAAUGAGUGUACUGUAGAAGAAAGGACCGGCUAACUCCGUGCCAGCAGCCGCGGUAAUACGGGGGGCCCUAGCGUUGUUCGGAAUCAUUGGGCGUAAAGCGGGUGUAGGCGGAUUAGUAAGUCAGAAGUGAAAGCCCCGGGCUCAACCCGGGAAGUGCUUUUGGUACUGCUAAUCUUGAGUGUGGGAGAGGGUAGUAGAAUUCCAGGUGUAGUGGUGAAAUACGUAGAUAUCUGGAGGAACACCGGUGGCGAAGGCGACUGCCUGGCCCAACACUGACGCUCAGACCCGAAAGCGUGGGUAGCAAACAGGAUUAGAUACCCUGGUAGUCCACGCCGUAAACACUGGACACUUGUUGUUGGAGGUAUUGACCCCUUCAGUGACGGAGCUAACGCGUUAAGUGUCCCGCCUGGGGAGUACGGCCG
rnacentral:rRNA from 1 species